rnacentral:rRNA from 1 species
CCUACGGGAGGCAGCAGUGAGGAAUAUUGGUCAAUGGCCGUAAGGCUGAACCAGCCAAGUCGCGUGAAGGAAGAAGGAUCUAUGGUUUGUAAACUUCUUUUAUAGGGGAAUAAAGGUAUCCACGUGUGGAUAUUUGCAUGUACCCUAUGAAUAAGCAUCGGCUAACUCCGUGCCAGCAGCCGCGGUAAUACGGAGGAUGCGAGCGUUAUCCGGAUUUAUUGGGUUUAAAGGGUGCGUAGGUUGUUUUUUAAGUCAGCGGUGAAAGUUUGUGGCUCAACCAUAAAAUUGCCGUUGAUACUGGAAGACGUGAGUGUGUUUGAGGUAGGCGGAAUGCGUGGUGUAGCGGUGAAAUGCAUAGAUAUCACGCAGAACUCCGAUUGCGAAGGCAGCUUACUAAGCCAUAACUGACACUGAAGCACGAAAGCGUGGGGAUCAAACAGGAUUAGAUACCCCUGUAGUC